GGAAUACCAGUUGGCGAAGGCGGCUUUUUGGACUGUAACUGACGCUGAGGNAUGAAGGCGUGGGGAGCAAACAGGAUUAGAUACNNUGGUAGUCNCACGCCGUAAACGAUGAAUACUAGGUGUAGGGAGGUAUNGACUCCUUCUGUGCCGCAGUUAACACAAUAAGUAUUCCGCCUGGGGAGUACGGUCGCAAGAUUAAAACUCAAAGGAAUUGACGGGGGCCCGCACAAGCAGCGGAGCAUGUGGUUUAAUUCGAAGCAACGCGAAGAACCUUACCCAGACUUGACAUCUCCUGAAUUAAUCGUAAUGGAUGAAAUCCCUUCGGGGACAGGAAGACAGGUGGUGCAUGGUUGUCGUCAGCUCGUGUCGUGAGAUGUUGGGUUAAGUCCCGCAACGAGCGCAACCCUUAUCAUUAGUUGCUAACAUUUAGUUGAGCACUCUAGUGAGACUGCCCGGGUUAACCGGGAGGAAGGUGGGGAUGACGUCAAAUCAUCAUGCCCCUUAUGUCUGGGGCUACACACGUGCUACAAUGGUGGGAACAAAGAGAUGCAAUACCNCAAGGUGGAGCCAAACUUCAAAACCCAUCCCAGUUCGGAUUGUAGGCUGAAACUCGCCUACAUGAAGCUGGAGUUGCUAGUAAUCGCGAAUCAGAAUGUC
rnacentral:rRNA from 1 species